GGCUUGUUAGCGUAGUGGGAAGCGCGUCCGCUCAAUUUUACUGUGAAAUCUGUACAUUUGCGGGAGGCCCAGUUCGAAUCCGAGAUAGGUCA